rnacentral:rRNA from 1 species
GACGAACGCUGGCGGCGUGCCUAAUACAUGCAAGUCGAGCGAAGCGGCGGAGGGGUGAGUAACGCGUGGGUAACCUGCCCUUAAGUCUGGGAUACCAUUUGGAAACGGAUGCUGAUACCGGAUACUAAAGGAUGGGCCUGGGAUGCAUUAGCUAGUUGGUAAGGUAACGGCUUACAAAGGCGAUGAUGGAUAGCCGGGUUGAGAGGCUGAUCGGCCACAUUGGAACUUAGACACGGCCCAAACUCCUACGGGAGGCAGCAGUAGGGAAUCUUCCACAAUGGACGAAAGUCUGAUGCAGCAACGCCGCGUGAGUGAAGAAGGUUUUCGGAUCGUAAAGCUCUGUUGUUGGUGAAGCGGUAAUCACCCAGAAAGUCACGGCUAACUACGUGCCAGCAGCCGCGGUAAUUC